UACGUAGGUGGCAAGCGUUGUCCGGAUUUAUUGGGCGUAAAGCGAGCGCAGGCGGUUCUUUAAGUCUGAUGUGAAAGCCCCCGGCUUAACCGGGGAGGGUCAUUGGAAACUGGGGAACUUGAGUGCAGAAGAGGAGAGUGGAAUUCCAUGUGUAGCGGUGAAAUGCGUAGAUAUAUGGAGGAACACCAGUGGCGAAGGCGGCUCUCUGGUCUGUAACUGACGUUGAGGCUCGAAAGUGUGGGUAGCAAAC
rnacentral:rRNA from 1 species